AGUGAACGCUGGCGGUAGGCCUAACACAUGCAAGUCGAACGGCAGCACAGUAAGAGCUUGCUCUUACGGGUGGCGAGUGGCGGACGGGUGAGGAAUACAUCGGAAUCUACUUUUUCGUGGGGGAUAACGUAGGGAAACUUACGCUAAUACCGCAUACGACCUACGGGUGAAAGCAGGGGAUCUUCGGACCUUGCGCGAUUGAAUGAGCUGAUGUCGGAUUAGCUAGUUGGCGGGGUAAAGGCCCACCAAGGCGACGAUCCGUAGCUGGUCUGAGAGGAUGAUCAGCCACACUGGAACUGAGACACGGUCCAGACUCCUACGGGAGGCAGCAGUGGGGAAUAUUGCACAAUGGGCGCAAGCCUGAUCCAGCCAUACCGCGUGAGUGAAGAAGGCCUUCGGGUUGUAAAGCCCUUUUGUAGGGAAAGAAAAGCAGCAGGUUAAUACCCCGCUGUUCUGACGGUACCCAAAGAAUAAGCACCGGCUAACUUCGUG
rnacentral:rRNA from 1 species